GCGCGAUUAGCUCAUUUGGUAGAGCGUUUCUUUGACGUAGAAAAGGUGGCAGGUCCGAAUCCUGCAUCGCGCA
rnacentral:tRNA from 1 species